UGCCGGGUCGUCUAAUCGUAGGACAGCGCCCUUUGAAGGCGCGAAUGCUGGUGCGAUUCCAGCCCUGGCAGCCA
rnacentral:tRNA from 1 species